CCCCCAAGGACCGGAAAAUUUGACCCGUUGGUAACUAAGGUCCCCAGUAAGGGACCCCUAACAGGGGGCCCCGGGAAGGUUGAUUCCACGUAAGGUAACCUGCCUGUAAGACUGGGAUAACUCCGGGAAACCGGAGCUAAUACCGGAUAGUUCCUUGAACCGCAUGGUUCAAGGAUGAAAGACGGUUUCGGCUGUCACUUACAGAUGGACCCGCGGCGCAUUAGCUAGUUGGUGGGGUAAUGGCUCACCAAGGCGACGAUGCGUAGCCGACCUGAGAGGGUGAUCGGCCACACUGGGACUGAGACACGGCCCAGACUCCUACGGGAGGCAGCAGUAGGGAAUCUUCCGCAAUGGACGAAAGUCUGACGGAGCAACGCCGCGUGAGUGAUGAAGGUUUUCGGAUCGUAAAGCUCUGUUGUUAGGGAAGAACAAGUGCGAGAGUAACUGCUCGCACCUUGACGGUACCUAACCAGAAAGCCACGGCUAACUACGUGCCAGCAGCCGCGGUAAUACGUAGGUGGCAAGCGUUGUCCGGAAUUAUUGGGCGUAAAGGGCUCGCAGGCGGUUUCUUAAGUCUGAUGUGAAAGCCCCCGGCUCAACCGGGGAGGGUCAUUGGAAACUGGGAAACUUGAGUGCAGAAGAGGAGAGUGGAAUUCCACGUGUAGCGGUGAAAUGCGUAGAGAUGUGGAGGAACACCAGUGGCGAAGGCGACUCUCUGGUCUGUAACUGACGCUGAGGAGCGAAAGCGUGGGGAGCGAACAGGAUUAGAUACCCUGGUAGUCCACGCCGUAAACGAUGAGUGCUAAGUGUUAGGGGGUUUCCGCCCCUUAGUGCUGCAGCUAACGCAUUAAGCACUCCGCCUGGGGAGUACGGUCGCAAGACUGAAACUCAAAGGAAUUGACGGGGGCCCGCACAAGCGGUGGAGCAUGUGGUUUAAUUCGAAGCAACGCGAAGAACCUUACCAGGUCUUGACAUCCUCUGACAACCCUAGAGAUAGGGCUUUCCCUUCGGGGACAGAGUGACAGGUGGUGCAUGGUUGUCGUCAGCUCGUGUCGUGAGAUGUUGGGUUAAGUCCCGCAACGAGCGCAACCCUUGAUCUUAGUUGCCAGCAUUUAGUUGGGCACUCUAAGGUGACUGCCGGUGACCAACCCGGAAGAAAGUUGGGGAUGAC
rnacentral:rRNA from 1 species